CUCUCCGCCUCUGGUUUGCUUCCUUUUUCGGUCCCAGUGUUAUGGUGGCUGAAAUUCCGACGACAGUGAAGGCAACGUGACGCCGGGCCGCGUGAGGCGGGUUCAGCCUGAAGGACACUCGGGAGUCUGAGACGUCCGUGGAAGGUAGGUGGUUCGUGGCUGUACCCCACCUCAUCGGGCGGGCACGGAACCCAAGUCUCUCCGAACAGACACUGGCCUCACUGAGGUUCGGGGAAACCGGCGUCAGGUCUUCUGAACCCUCGGUACCGCCCGCCCGCGAGCUAGCCAGCUAGCUAGCUAGCCCAACAGAAGCUAGCACCAGUCGUCGGUCAGGAAGGCGUUUUCUCGAAGUCCGGUUCCGAUUCUGAGUCUCGGAGGAACCUGCGCACAGUUUGACCUGUGAUCGUCAAAACUCGUUGGUAGCGCUCAUCGUUGACGGUCUCCCCCUCUGCCCUUUGCGGCUGAUGCUCAGCUGCUGAGCGCGGUUGCUCCUGACCCAUGUGAUGAAUGGCUGCAAGCCGGGGAGGAGUGGCCUUCUGGGUGGGCUGCGUCUGCAGCAACGGCGCCAGGAAACCCGUCCAGAACCGGAGCUGGAGUCAGGUGGUUGACUGGCGAUGGCUCGGUCCGACUCGGCCCCUGAGCAGUGCGGUGUGGGCUCUGGCACCCCCCAACAGCCUGAGAUAUCAGAGCGUGAAGCAGCCGCUGCUGUCCCACCCGCUGCACCCGGCCAUCCGGCCGCAGAAGCUGGGCUGCGAUGAGGACUGGGAGGAAUCGCGCAGCGUGUGCGUGCUGGUGCUGCCCACAGAGUCGGAGCGCCUGCGCAGCUUGCUGGUUCAGCUUCCUGAGCUCAGACACACAAAGACAGCAGAGCUGCACUUUCUGAAGACUCGCCAGUCGUCUGCGUUCUCCUUCCCCCUGACAACGGUGGAUGGCAGCAGGGAGGAUGAUAUAAAUGUUCAGAGCCUGCAGAGGGACGUUGACCUGCAGGGGGAGCCAGACUGCUUUAGGAACCUGUUUGAGGCAGAGCGGUGUCCUGCUCCCUUCAUGUACGGCUCCCGCUUCUAUUGCUUUCAUUGCCCGAUCAGUCAUCUGCUACCCGACGGGAAGAUCAGAUCCUUCCAGGAUGGUGGACUUAGCAGGAGGCAGGAGGUGUCUUUGAUGCCAGCUGUGACUCUGUGCAGCCAAGUAAGCCAGGCAGACGGUCAACAAGGAGACCAGGAGGAGGAGGAGAGGCUGGCCCUGAUGCUGGAGAAACUGAGAAUUGAGCUUCCCAGCUUCUUUUUGACCAACCACGACUACAGCAUUUACUCUAACGACGUAGAGUUUAUCAAUGGCCUCCUCAACAUCAAGACCAGAGGCCGGCGGGUGUACCAGAUCACGCUGUCCAUGUGGCGCCUCCUGGUUCUGUGUUACUACGCCGAGGCUCGGCUAGACGUGCUCAAGCUCACCAAGCAUCCAGAGGACGGCACCAUCAAGGCUCGCUGGAGGAUCAGGGGCCUCCCCUUCCACUGUGUGCUGCUGCGCUUCUACCGCAAAGACAAAACCCACAUGUACAGGUCCUACGAUGCAUUUUCUACAUUCUAUGUGGGGCGGGAUGGACUCAUUCACUGUCACAAAGUCGAAAAGGUGAUGCCGGCUCAGCCCCCCGUCCUGCCCAGAGUGCAGGCCCUCCUAACCGGCGCUCUGGUCGCCCUGGGCGUGCAGGAGCACCGCCCCGCUCUCAACCUGCUGCCCCCCCUCCUGUCCUCACUGUGGCAGAGCAGAGACUGACCCCAGCCCACAGAAGGAACUCGCUUGUUUACAUUUGCAGAUUCACAGCAGAAGCUUCAGAACUCUGUCCUCCUCAGCUCCCAGGAUCACCCUCCUCCUCCAGAUGGGAGCUGAGUCAGCCCUCCUGCUUCCAGUUCUUUGGCUGUUUGUCGUUCUCUUGGCCUCAGAUGUAGGUUGUUUGCUGCACGUUUGUCACCGCUCUCCAUCCUGACAGUUCUAACGUGAAACUGCUGUGUUCUCCGUUUUUAAAGUGUAACGGUCCAUUAACACGCGUGAACGUCGGCCUGAAGCGCUGGAGCAUCACAGAAGCGGCCUCACUUCCAUCAUACUGAAGCAAACUGCUUCAGUGUCUCAGGUUUGAAUGUCUCAACAGGAUUUAGAUCAAGCUUCCUGACACCAGGUGGCGCAUUUUACUCCAGAAAAGUUUGAUCCCAGAUUCAAGAUGCCCUUCCAUCCCAUCAUAAUCUUCACAUCACCUUCCUCUUCAGCAGAUGGAGGCAGUCCUUCAAAUGAAGCAGAAGCUACACAAUAAAUGGACUCUGAGUGUUCAUUA